rnacentral:rRNA from 1 species
GGAAAAGCUACUAAGGGCGCGCGGUGGAUGCCUAGGCAUCGAGAGGCGAUGAAGGACGUGGACAGCUGCGAAAAGCCACGGGAAGGCGCUAACAGCCAUUGAUCCGUGGGUCUCCGAAUCGGGCAACCGGGCAGGGUAACCUGUCAGCCUCGGACUGAAUACAUAGGUCCGAGGUGGCCAACCGGGUGAACUGAAACAUCUAAGUAGCCCGUGGAAAGGAAAUCAACUGAGACUCCCCCAGUAGCGGCGAGCGAACGGGGAACAGCCUAAACCGGCGGAGCUUGCUCCGACGGGGUCGUGGGGCCAUUCAUAUGGGAGUUACAAAGUGUGUUGCUAGUCGAACGGUCUGGAAAGGCCGGCCAUAGAAGGUGACAGCCCUGUAUGCGAAAGCGACGCACCUCCCGAAUGGUACCCGAGUACCGCAGGGCACGUGAAACCCAGCGGGAAUCUGGGAGGACCAUCUUCCAAGGCUAAGUACUACUCGAUGACCGAUAGUGAACAAGUACCGUGAGGGAAAGGUGAAAAGAACCCCAGUGAGGGGAGUGAAAUAGUACCUGAAACCGCGCGUCUACAAGCAGUGGAAGCACUAUGCGCUUGCGCAGUGCGACCGCGUACCUUUUGCAUAAUGGGCCUGCGAGUUACGCUACGUCGCAAGGUUAAGCCGUGAGGUGAAGCCGUAGGGAAACCAAGUCCAAAUAGGGCGUUUAGUGGCGUGGUGUAGACCCGAAACCGAGCGAUCUACCCUUGGCCAGGUUGAAGCGCGGGUAAUACCGCGUGGAGGACCGAACCCACUGGAGUUGAAAAUCCAGGGGAUGAGCUGAGGGUGGGAGUGAAAGGCUAAUCAAGCUCGGAGAUAGCUGGUUCUCCGCGAAAUAUAUUGAGGUAUAGCCUCGGACGAAUUGCAUCGGGGGUAGAGCACUGAAUGGGCUAGGGGUCUCACCAGAUUACCAAACCCAAUCAAACUCCGAAUACCGGUGACAACUAUCCGGGAGUCAGGCGGCGGGUGAUAAGAUUCGUCGCCAAAAGGGAAAGAGCCCAGAUCGACAGCUAAGGUCCCCAAAUCCAGACUAAGUGGAGAAGGAUGUGGGAGCGCUUAGACAACCAGGAGGUUGGCUUAGAAGCAGCCAUCCUUUAAAGAAAGCGUAAUAGCUCACUGGUCAAGCGAACCUGCGCCGAAAAUAUAACGGGGCUAAGUCUGGUACCGAAGCUUCGGGUUCUGUCUUUGACAGAGCGGUAGCGGAGCAUUCUCAAGCAGAUACACGGCGUACCGUAAGGAGCGCUAUCGGGCUUGAGAAGAGCUUAUGCAGGCAUGAGUAGCGAUAAACAGAGUGAGAAACUCUGUCGCCGUAAGCCCAAGGUUUCCUGGGGAAGGAUAAUCCUCCCAUGGGUUAGUCGGUCCCUAAGCCGAGGCCGAAAGGCGUAGGUGAUGGGAAGCAGGUUAAUAUUCCUGCACCACGAAGGACGGUUUUGAAGCGAGCAGGGACGGAGAAGGGUAUGCCGAUCCGGCAGAUGGAUUUGUCGGUUCAAGCCCGUAGGCGGGCCCCGUAGGAGUCGAUAGACACAAACGCGGGGUCAACGCCGAGAGGUGAUGAGGUGGAGCUCCGGCUCCGGAACUCGGUGAUCCCAUGCUUCCAAGAAAAGCUGCGCGUGGAGCCCCUUUCGUGACCGUACUCCAAACCGACUCAGGUGGGCGGGGUGAGAAUCCCAAGGCGCGUGAGAGAACACUGGCUAAGGAACUCGGCAAAUUGACACCGUAACUUCGGGAGAAGGUGUGCCUCUGGUGGUGACAGUCCUUGCGACUCGAGCUGCUGGGGGUUGCAGAGACCAGAGGGUAGCGACUGUUUACUAAAAACAUAGGACUCUGCGAAAUCGUAAGAUGACGUAUAGGGUCUGACGCCUGCCCGGUGCCGGAAGGUUAAGGGGAGCUGUUAGUCCUUUUGGGCGAAGCAGCGAACCGAAGCCCCGGUAAACGGCGGCCGUAACUAUAACGGUCCUAAGGUAGCGAAAUUCCUUGUCGGGUAAGUUCCGACCCGCACGAAUGGCGUAACGACUUCCCUACUGUCUCGGCCAGUGACUCAGCGAAAUUGUAUUGGGCGUGAAGAUACGCUCUACCCGCGGCUAGACGGAAAGACCCCGUGAACCUUUACUGCAACUUGGCAGUGAAGUUCGGGUCAGUCUGCGUAGGAUAGGUGGGAGACUUUGAAGUCGGGAUUCCGGUCCCGAUGGAGUCAUCCUUGAAAUACCACCCUGGCUGUUCUGGACUUCUAACCCAGGCCCGUAAUCCGGGUCGGGGACAUUGCCUGGUGGGCAGUUUGACUGGGGCGGUCGCCUCCUAAAGAGUAACGGAGGCGCACGAAGGUUCCCUCAGGCUGAAUGGAAACCAGCCGUAGAGUGUAAAGGCAUAAGGGAGCUUAACUGUGAGACCGACGGGUCGAACAGGUUGGAAACAAGGUCUUAGUGAUCCGGUGGCACUGCAUGGAAGGGCCAUCGCUCAACGGAUAAAAGGUACUCCGGGGAUAACAGGCUGAUCGCGCCUGAGAGUUCAUAUCGGCGGCGCGGUUUGGCACCUCGAUGUCGGCUCAUCGCAUCCUGGGGCUGGAGCAGGUCCCAAGGGUUUGGCUGUUCGCCAAUUAAAGCGGUACGCGAGCUGGGUUUAGAACGUCGUGAGACAGUUCGGUCCCUAUCUGCCGUGGGCGCAGGACACUUGAGAGGAGCUAUUCAUAGUACGAGAGGACCUGAAUGGACGUACCUCUGGUGCGCCGGUUGUCACGCCAGUGGCAUAGCCGGGUAGCCAUGUACGGAACGGAUAACCGCUGAAAGCAUCUAAGCGGGAAGCCGGCCUCGAGAUAAGGUGUCCCGGACUUCGGUCCCUAAAGGCCCCUCGAAGACUACGAGGAGAUAGGCCGGGUGUGGAAGCGCAGCAAUGCGCGGAGCUAACCGGUACUAAUCGGCCGUGAGGCUUUUCCUA